UAGCGGCGAGCGAAGCGGGAAGAGCUCAAAUUUAUAAUCUGGCACCUUCGGUGUCCGAGUUGUAAUCUCUAGAAAUGUUUUCCGCGUUGGACCGCACACAAGUCUGUUGGAAUACAGCGGCAUAGUGGUGAGACCCCCGUAUAUGGUGCGGACGCCCAGCGCUUUGUGAUACAUUUUCGAAGAGUCGAGUUGUUUGGGAAUGCAGCUCAAAUUGGGUGGUAAAUUCCAUCUAAAGCUAAAUAUUGGCGAGAGACCGAUAGCGAACAAGUACCGUGAGGGAAAGAUGAAAAGCACUUUGGAAAGAGAGUUAACAGUACGUGAAAUUGUUGGAAGGGAAACGCUUGAAGUCAGACUUGCUUGCCGAGCAAUCGGUUUGCAGGCCAGCAUCAGUUUUCCGGGAUGGAUAAUGGUAAAGAGAAGGUAGCAGUUUCGGCUGUGUUAUAGCUCUCUACUGGAUACAUCCUGGGGGACUGAGGAACGCAGUGUGCCUUUGGCGGGGGUUUCGACCUCUUCACACUUAGGAUGCUGGUGGAAUGGCUUUAAACGACCCGUCUUGAAACACGGACCAAGGAGUCUAACAUGCUUGCGAGUAUUUGGGUGUCAAACCCGGAUGCGUAAUGAAAGUGAAUGGAGGUGGGAACCGCAAGGUGCACCAUCGACCGAUCUGGAUUUUUAAUGAUGGAUUUGAGUAAGAGCACGUAUGUUGG
rnacentral:rRNA from 1 species